rnacentral:rRNA from 1 species
AACGAACGCUGGCGGCAUGCCUAACACAUGCAAGUCGAACGAAGCCUUCGGGCUUAGUGGCGCACGGGUGCGUAACGCGUGGGAAUCUGCCCUUGGGUUCGGAAUAACAGUUAGAAAUGACUGCUAAUACCGAAUGAUGUCUUCGGACCAAAGAUUUAUCGCCCAAGGAUGAGCCCGCGUCGGAUUAGCUGGUUGGUGAGGUAAAGGCUCACCAAGGCGACGAUCCGUAGCUGGUCUGAGAGGAUGAUCAGCCACACUGGGACUGAGACACGGCCCAGACUCCUACGGGAGGCAGCAGUGGGGAAUAUUGGACAAUGGGCGAAAGCCUGAUCCAGCAAUGCCGCGUGAGUGAUGAAGGCCUUAGGGUUGUAAAGCACUUUCGACAGGGACGAUGAUGACGGUACCUGUAGAAGAAGCCCCGGCUAACUUCGUGCCAGCAGCCGCGGUAAU